rnacentral:rRNA from 1 species
CACGUAGGCACCAAGCGUUAUCCGGAUUUAUUGGGCGUAAAGAGCUCGUAGGCGGCUUGUUGCGUCAGCUGUGAAAACCCGCAGCUCAACUGUGGGCUUGCAGCUGAUACGGGCAGGCUUGAGUUCGGUAGGGGAGACUGGAAUUCCUGGUGUAGCGGUGAAAUGCGUAGAUAUCAGGAGGAACACCGGUGGUGUAGACGGCUUUCUGGACCGUAACUGACGCUGAGACACGAAAGCGUGGGUAGCAAACAGG